rnacentral:rRNA from 1 species
GACGAACGCUGGCGGCGUGCUUAACACAUGCAAGUCGAACGGAAAGGCCCUGCUUUUGUGGGGUGCUCUAGUGGCGAACGGGUGAGUAACACGUGAGUAACCUGCCCUUGACUUUGGGAUAACUUCAGGAAACUGGGGCUAAUACCGGCUAGGAGCUCCUGCUUCAUGGUGGGGGUUGGAAAGUUUCGGCGGUUGGGGAUGGACUCGCGGCUUAUCAGCUUGUUGGUGGGGUAGUGGCUUACCAAGGCUUUGACGGGUAGCCGGCCCGAGAGGGUGACCGGCCACAUUGGGACUGAGAUACGGCCCAGACUCCUACGGGAGGCAGCAGUGGGGAAUAUUGCACAAUGGGCGGAAGCCUGAUGCAGCAACGCCGCGUGCGGGAUGACGGCCUUCGGGUUGUAAACCGCCUUCGCCUGUGACGAAGCGUGAGUGACGGUAAUGGGUAAAGAAGCACCGGCUAACUACGUG